ensembl:lncRNA
UUGUAAUACUAUUGUAAGAGCCCAGUAUUUCCCUCCUCUUUUUACUCAUGCUAACACUCUCCUUCACUUUACUCUUUAAGUAUUCCCUGUUUCACCUGCCUGUAAAUACAGUUUCCAGGUUCUUUGUUGUACACGUGAGGAUAAUCUAUUCCCAGUGGCUGCUCAAAGCAAGGCAUCCUGUGGUACUUGUGAGUAAUUAAGAUUCUCAGGGUUCUUUAGCAAUGUGAAUUUCUCUCAGUGAUUACCAUUGGCAUUGCUGUUUUCCAGUUCACCCUCCAGAGGCAGAGCAGUCCACGUGCACAUGGACAAGGUGGAAAGUGGAGGGAGCAAUGUGGGAAUGCACUUGGAUUUGCAGUGUCUUCUACACUUGAACGACAGAGCACAGCACCUGAACACGAAGGCUUCAUGUUUUAUUAAUGGUGUCCAAUUCAUUUCCUGUUUUCAUGCUGAUAACCUACUGAGGGAGAGGAAGGGAACUCAGGUGGCAAGACCUCAGAUCCAUUUUUCUUAUACCCAUGAACAGUUCACAAUCAUCUGCCACUUUGAAUACUGAUUAUUCUCAUGUUGGGCUGUAAGAGGAUGGAUAUUUACCACUGAAAAGAGAAGAGCCACCAAUUCUCAAGGCAUCACCAGGCUCUGCAGACAGGUAUUGUCAUAGGGUGGCAUGUUAUGUAAGAACUCCUUAAAUGCAAGUUACUGUACAUUCUUGGCAGCAGACCACAUAAAAUUUCCCUUCAGAUGUUGAUGGGCUGAAAAAAAAAAAAAAAAAAAAAAGGAGAAAGAAAAAAAGAAAAAUAUGAAAAUCAUCUUAUCAUUUACAAUGCAAAUCUUGGAAUGAAAGUUAGUAAAUUAAACUAGAGAUUCACCUAAAUUAAGCUGGCAUUCUAUUCUGGUGCUUCAAACUUUGAAAACAUUGCUGGCUGACAAAACAAGCCCUGGAAUGAUUAGCAAAACCCUCCUUCAGAGGCAGCAGACAAGCAAUCCCUUUGAACCUUCACAGCACAUCAUAAACGCUCAGCAGAGUUACAGUGUGGCAGUCCCAGUGCUAUCAAUUAUUUACCCUUUUUCUGUUUACCUUCAGGCAGCAAGUAAUUAUUUUUAAAUAUUAAUUUAGUUGUGUCAUGUACAGUUUGUGGUUUAGCCCUGAGAUCUGAGAUACAGAAAAGCAAACUGCAUCUCAAAUCACAUUUAGCUGGUGACGCAUUGAUAGCCAGAUCCCCACUUCAGCUACUCAGCUUCUCCCAUCAUUAGAAACAGAACUCUGCUCAUUGCAGGAAAGUGAAAGCAAUUUUCUUAAUAGGAAAGGACACUUUUUUUGGUAGCCUAAAAGUCUCAGAAAUUGAAAAAUCUAUUUUAUUCUAAAAAGUUGUUUUUUUCAGAUGAAGACUUUUUUUUUUCUCUCCCUCUUUUUGUUUCCCUCAGAUAUUUCCCCAGAGUGUUUAUUUUUCUUUAUCCUCAGCUAAUUUAGGCUACAGAGAAGUUGGCUGUUGUUUCUGCAGCCCCAAGAGAAAAAGGUCUUGGAGAAAAGGCUCACCUUCCUGCACUGAAAUCAC